rnacentral:rRNA from 1 species
ACGGCUCAGUAACACGUAGUCAAUCUACCCUAUGGACGGGAAUAACCUCGGGAAACUGAGAAUAAUGCCCGAUAGAACAUUAUGCCUGGAAUGGUUUAUGUUUCAAAUGAUUUAUCGCCAUAGGAUGGGACUGCGGCCUAUCAGUUUGUUGGUGAGGUAAUGGCCCACCAAGACUAUUACAGGUACGGGCUCUGAGAGGAGUAGCCCGGAGAUGGGUACUGAGACACGGACCCAGGCCCUAUGGGGCGCAGCAGGCGAGAAAACUUUGCAAUGUGCGAAAGCACGACAAGGUUAAUCCGAGUGGUUUCUGCUAAAGAAACCUUUUGUCAGUCCUAGAAACACUAACGAAUAAGGGGUGGGCAAGUUCUGGUGUCAGCCGCCGCGGUAAAACCAGCACCUCGAGUGGUCAGGAUGAUUAUUGGGCCUAAAGCAUCCGUAGCCCGUUUUGUAAGUUUUCGGUUAAAUCCAUGCGCUUAACGUAUGGGCUGCCGGGAAUACUGCAUAACUAGGAAGUGGGAGAGGUAGACGGUACUCGGUAGGAAGGGGUAAAAUCCUUUGAUCUAUUGAUGACCACCUGUGGCGAAGGCGGUCUACCAGAACACGUUCGACGGUGAGGGAUGAAAGCUGGGGGAGCAAACCGGAUUAGAUACCCGGGUAGUCCCAGCUGUAAACUAUGCAAACUCAGUGAUGCAUUGGCUUAUGGCCAAUGCAGUGCUGCAGGGAAGCCGUUAAGUUUGCCGCCUGGGAAGUACGUACGCAAGUAUGAAACUUAAAGGAAUUGGCGGGGGAGCAC